rnacentral:rRNA from 1 species
GAGCGAACGGAUAAGGAGCUUGCUCCUUUGAAGUUAGCGGCGGACGGGUGAGUAACACGUGGGUAACCUACCUAUAAGACUGGAAUAACUUCGGGAAACCGGAGCUAAUGCCGGAUAACAUUUGGAACCGCAUGGUUCUAAAGUAAAAGAUGGUUUUGCUAUCACUUAUAGAUGGACCCGCGCCGUAUUAGCUAGUUGGUAAGGUAACGGCUUACCAAGGCAACGAUACGUAGCCGACCUGAGAGGGUGAUCGGCCACACUGGAACUGAGACACGGUCCAGACUCCUACGGGAGGCAGCAGUAGGGAAUCUUCCGCAAUGGACGAAAGUCUGACGGAGCAACGCCGCGUGAGUGAUGAAGGUUUUCGGAUCGUAAAACUCUGUUAUUAGGGAAGAACAAAUGUGUAAGUAACUGUGCACAUCUUGACGGUACCUAAUCAGAAAGCCACGGCUAACUACGUGCCAGCAGCCGCGGUAAUACGUAGGUGGCAAGCGUUAUCCGGAAUUAUUGGGCGUAAAGCGCGCGUAGGCGGUUUCUUAAGUCUGAUGUGAAAGCCCACGGCUCAACCGUGGAGGGUCAUUGGAAACUGGGAAACUUGAGUACAGAAGAGGAAAGUGGAAUUCCAUGUGUAGCGGUGAAAUGCGCAGAGAUAUGGAGGAACACCAGUGGCGAAGGCGACUUUCUGGUCUGUAACUGACGCUGAUGUGCGAAAGCGUGGGGAUCAAACAGGAUUAGAUACCCUGGUAGUCCACGCCGUAAACGAUGAGUGCUAAGUGUUAGGGGGUUUCCGCCCCUUAGUG